rnacentral:rRNA from 1 species
UAGGGAAUCUUCCACAAUGGACGCAAGUCUGAUGGAGCAACGGCCGCGUGAGUGAAGAAGGUUUUCGGACCGUAAAGCUCUGUUGUUGGUGAAGAAGGAUAGAGGUAGUAACUGGCCUUUAUUUGACGGUAAUCAACCAGAAAGUCACGGCUAACUACGUGCCAGCAGCCGCGGUAAUACGUAGGUGGCAAGCGUUGUCCGGAUUUAUUGGGCGUAAAGCGAGCGCAGGCGGAAGAAUAAGUCUGAUGUGAAAGCCCUCGGCUUAACCGAGGAAUUGCAUCGGAAACUGUUUUCUUGAGUGCAGAAGAGGAGAGUAGAACUCCAUGUGUAGCGGUGGAAUGCGUAGAUAUAUGGAAGAAUACCAGUGGCGAAGGCGGCUCUCUGGUCUGCAACUGACGCUGAGGCUCGAAAGCAUGGGUAGCGAACAGGAUUAAAUACCCUGGUAGUCCAUGCCGUAAACGAUGAGUGCUAAGUGUUGGGAGGCUUCCGCCUCUCAGUGCUGCAGCUAACGCAUUAAGCACUCCGCCUGGGGGAGUACGACCGCAA